rnacentral:rRNA from 1 species
AGAGUUUGAUCCUGGCUCAGAACGAACGCUGGCGGCAGGCCUAACACAUGCAAGUCGAGCGGAUGAUGGGAGCUUGCUCCUGGAUUCAGCGGCGGACGGGUGAGUAAUGCCUAGGAAUCUGCCUGGUAGUGGGGGACAACGUUUCGAAAGGAACGCUAAUACCGCAUACGUCCUACGGGAGAAAGCAGGGGACCUUCGGGCCUUGCGCUAUCAGAUGAGCCUAGGUCGGAUUAGCUAGUUGGUGGGGUAAAGGCUCACCAAGGCGACGAUCCGUAACUGGUCUGAGAGGAUGAUCAGUCACACUGGAACUGAGACACGGUCCAGACUCCUACGGGAGGCAGCAGUGGGGAAUAUUGGACAAUGGGCGAAAGCCUGAUCCAGCAAUGCCGCGUGAGUGAUGAAGGCCUUAGGGUUGUAAAGCUCUUUUACCAGGGAUGAUAAUGACAGUACCUGGAGAAUAAGCUCCGGCUAACUCCGUGCCAGCAGCCGCGGUAAUACGGAGGGAGCUAGCGUUGUUCGGAAUUACUGGGCGUAAAGCGCACGUAGGCGGCUUUUCAAGUCAGGGGUGAAAUCCCGGGGCUCAACCCCGGAACUGCCCUUGAAACUGGAUGGCUAGAAUACUGGAGAGGUGAGUGGAAUUCCGAGUGUAGAGGUGAAAUUCGUAGAUAUUCGGAGGAACACCAGUGGCGAAGGCGGCUCACUGGCUCGAUACUGACGCUGAGGUACGAAAGUGUGGGGAGCAAACAGGAUUAGAUACCCUGGUAGUCCACACCGUAAACGAUGAAUGCCAGUCGUCGGGUAGCAUGCUAUUCGGUGACACACCUAACGGAUUAAGCAUUCCGCCUGGGGAGUACGGUCGCAAGAUUAAAACUCAAAGGAAUUGACGG